GAAAUUGAAUCCAGAGACACCUCGUUAAAAGCGAGUCUGGAUAAAGGGAGAAAUAUGAUCAUGGCGAGUUAUCCAUUGAAGGAUGCAGAACACCACAUUAGAAAAUUUGAUGAAUGGGUUGAAAAAAUGAGAGAAGAUGGAAUGUUUGGGGAAUUAGAGGGGCCCCCUCCAAACACUUCACAACGUGGUUUUUAUUUGGAUACACUAAAAAAUAGAUUGUCACAAGCUCGUGAAAAAAUGGCUGGUGCUGGUGUGUUCGGACGAGACAAACACCAGAAGGAAGAAACAAAACUUUUGGAUUUGAUUAGACAAACCAAGUUCAAUUUUAGUAACUAUUUUUCUGACAAGGACCCUGAACAGGAACAGGUGGAGCAAAACGGGGCUCAGGGAGGUGAGCAGGCACUCGACACUUCAGAGGAUGCCUGUUAUGGAGUUGCGUGAAGGUCAGAUAAAUUGUGAAAUAAGGCCUACAGAGGAAGAAUUGGGACAAGAGGUACGAAAGGAGUUUCAGAUGCAAGAUUUAAUAGAGGAGGCGGUAAAUAAAGCAUUUCAGCGAAUGUCAACAAUUGAUAGCAUGGGCACAGAACAUGAAGGGCACAGUCUAGGGGCAGCUGACAGUCUAAGAGGGAGAGAUGAGCAGAGGAAGCCACAUACGGAUAGCAAUGAGGAAGAUAUGAUACAAAUGGAAAGGAAAGCUUAAAAUAUAAGAGGUUGAUAUAUUUACAAUUUACGAUGUCUUGAAAUGAACAUUUUAAAGGUAAGAAGAUCAAUUAGUACAUUUUCAGUGCUGUAAACCCCCGCCCAACAUUGAGCUCCAGAAGGUGGAUCACAAAGAGCAGCCCUUCACUUAGAGGCAGGAGAGAAAAGAAAAAGAAGACACAGAGAGACUGAGUGCACACAGGGCCGGUCACAGCAAAGGCAGGGCCCAGGAGUCUAGAAGCAGUUUUUACCUUAAAGACAUCUACCAAAUUACUACACUAGAAUGGUAUUGUAAUCUGCAUUUAGAGUGACUGAUUCAGGAGCUUAUAUUUGAAAAUGUUAGACCACACAAGCUAAGUUUGUCAAACUGUAGCAAAGUGAAUAUAAAUUAAACACUGAUCACUGAGGAUACUCUAAGGUGGAUUAAAUGGAUCUUUACUCAGUCAACUGUUCAAAAUAGAGUGGGUUACAUCAAAUAGAUAAAUUAGGAAGGUUGAGUUCAGUGGAUAAAAAGAAGAGAGGCAGACAGCAGUAGAUGAAAUGGAGGGUGAGUUUGAUAGAGAAGGGGAGAAAUGGGCAAAGAAGAUCGAAGUGCGGGUUCAGUAAGAAUUAGAGAAAGGAAGUCAAUGCAGCAAUAUUAGGGAGGCCGGGAUCCCACUAUUUGUUUAGUUAUGGAGGUAGUUUUUUUUCGAAAUUUCCAGCAGCAGUGAUAGAUAUUUUGAUUGAGGGCAGCAACUGUCCUUUUAUGGUUGAUACGGGGGCCAGAUACAGCCCCAUGAAUCUUUAUGUGCCCACCUGCCAAAAAACUACACAGGUAAUGGGAUUUUCAGGAGAAAAACAAAACAUACCACUUUUUCAGAACCCCUUAGAGGUGUUCUCAUAUUUGAAAAUUCAAACAUGUCAUUUUUGGGGGACGCUUAGAAUUAAAAAUCAUUGGGUGUGAAAACUUAUUUUGGUGUCUAACGUGAGCAAAUAAAUCUUAGGUUUCCAUAAAUGUGCACAUAUAGUUUAACAAGGAUCCUAAAAUGAGGCUGAAAAGCACUGGUGCAGAGGUCUUAAGACCGGACUGGUGAAAAGAUUAUGAUUUUUGUUUAAAUUGGGAAAAAAUCCUCUAAGAAGAUAAAUCUAAAUUGAUACUGAUGGAUUAAACAAACUUUAUGUGGCCAAUGUCUGUCUGUCUGUCCUAAAUGUGGAAUGCAUGUGAGGUAGAAUGUGUGUGGUCAAGUUGGGAAUGAUUAAGAAUAUUUUUUGAUGUGACAUUAACAUGAUUUGCAUUUUUACAGGAUUGGGAAGGAGCACUGGGGGCAUAACAGAAGGGUAAUCGUAUCAAACAUGUUGCUCAGGGGCCCCAACUAGGAGAGGCCGUGACAAGACCAGAGCAGGUUGCUGUUGUAAGGUGUGAGGUAAUUUUUGGGUGUGGAGUGCAGCUGAGAUACUGUAGAUUAAUAGAUUAUAGAUUAGAAAAAUAAUUAAAUAUAUAAGUAAUUAUCCAGAAAGAAGCAGAAUGGGUGUUUUUACUUUUUGGGAAACAAAAAUCUCAGACGAGGGCAUUACAUGAUUUUAAUUUAAAGGUGGUUUCAUUUUCAAUCAUUAGAAUUGCAUUAGAGAUUGAUUAGUUUCAUUUUUCUCUCAUUAGGAUUUUAUUAGAGAUUGAUUAGGGACAGGAUAAUUCACACUUCGAGCUGGAACUGGACACAGCAUAUGGCCAAGAUACCCGCAGGAGCUCAGCAGAUUAGCGGGGUCAACUUUUAUAAACAAGGCUGGAGAGUUAAGAACAAUUUCGGUGUGACCUGACCCUGGGUUUUUUCAGCCUUCAGUUUUUAUCCAUAAUUAUUUUUAUCUGUGUAUAAUGCCGCUUGGAAACUGCCUAAGCACGAACUGAUUAAUUUGAAUCUCUAAUCAUUACUAACACUAACACUUUUCACUGUUCAUCUGGGCCUUACCUUCUUUGCAUGACUUGUUAAAUUCUGCUAACUUUACAAAUUUCUGUGAAUGAAGUGAUUAACUAUUGACUAAUUGAUGUACUUUUUGAUUGCUUUUUCCUGGUAACAAACCAGAGGGGUCAUUUACUUUUUCCCUGCUUGUAGAGAGUGACAGUGCGGCUGUCAGUGAGCAGGCAUGAUUAUUCAGAGGCCCAUUUAAGGAGGAUCAGGAGAUCGUUUUGCUUAAACGUGUUCUUUUUUCUUUUUCAGGCUGUGUUUGUAACAAUCCUUAAAUGUUAACAUUUUUUCUUCCAGGACAGGCUGACAAAAGUCUCAUCCUUCAUUGUGUUUUUGUUUAAGAUGUGCAUUAACCCUUAUUUUCCCAACAGCUGCAGAAGUUCUGGCAUGUGAAAUGGACAACUUGGCUGAGAGUGACUAGAGCAAGAGAGAGAGGGGGGUUCAGAUAGUUGAAAACUUUUUGAUAGGAGAUUUGAAUAGGUUCGAACUGACUGGACUGACUUGGUUAGUAACUGGACUGGAUCGGAACCAUGGAUUAGGACAUUAGAGAGAUGGUGUGAGAACGCAGCAUGCCAGAGACAGGGUGUAGAGAUUGUGGCUGCAUGUUUUGUUCCCGGCUGAAGGCCUUUCUGGUGAGCUCUGGGUUUGUUUUAAUUCCUCUCUGGUUCUGAUAUGACCUAUGAGGUAGAGAUGGAUGUGGUGGUUUGAAGCUCACAGACUUUUGUUGGGGUGGAAUUGCGCCCCCAUUAAGAGCAGUCAUGCUGACAGAGGCAUUAAAUGAAUGACACGAUGAACCAACAACUAUUUGGAGAAGUCGGAGGCACCACUGGGGUUUUUGUUGUCUUACAUGUUUGUCGUUGUUUGUGUCUGUAUGUUUGUUUGUUUUCUGUUUUCUGUUUGUUUACUAACAUCUUAGCCGUUAUGAAAAAAAAAAAAAAAAAGACGUGGCACGCAUGUUAAAUUUUUUUUCCGAAUAGUUUUGACUACACUACGGAUGGGAAUGUUUCAAAAUGAACAAUGGAUCUUUUUUGUUUGGAGAGACAUUGGACACUUUCUUUCUUGAGUCGCAGGAUGGAUUAACCUACAAGGGGCACAGAGACUAACUUUGCUCCUAAACUUCAGAAGGAGGGAUGGUUUGCAGCUGCUGAGAUGCGAACAUUAAGGAAAUGACUGGAUGCCCACUGCUUCAGAUGAGAAAAGAACACUGGCAGUGAUGGGUUGAUGGAAGGUCAUGGGAUCAUCGGACAAGAUGGAUGAG